UCUCCGUAGGUGAACCUGCGGAGGGAUCAUUACAGAGUUCAUGCCCUACCGGGUAGAUCUCCCACCCUAUGUUAUUAUUACUUUGUUGCUUUGGCGGGCCGUUAGGCUCCGGCCCGACUACCGGCCCCGGCUGGUAAGCGCCCGCCAAAGGACCCAAAACCCUGAAUAUUAGUGUCGUCUGAGUACUAUAUAAUAGUUAAAACUUUCAACAACGGAUCUCUUGGUUCUG
rnacentral:misc_RNA from 1 species